UGCGAGCAAAUCUCAAAAAUAAACGUACUCAGUUCGGAUUGUAGUCUGCAACUCGACUACAUGAAGUCGGAAUUGCUAGUAAUCGCAGAUCAGCAUGCUGCGGUGAAUACGUUCCCGGGCCUUGUACACACCGCCCGUCACACCAUGAGAGUUGGGGAUACCCGAAGCCUGUGAGCUAACUUUUAGAGGCAGCAGUCGAAGGUAGAAUCAAUGAUUGGGGUGAAGUCGUAACAAGGUAAC
rnacentral:rRNA from 1 species